rnacentral:lncRNA from 10 species
UUCCAUGGCUAUUAGUUUAAUUAUCUCAUCAGUCAGUUAAGGAAGUAUCUCCUUUAUUUAUUGGUGUGUUUCUCAUAUUUAAUGCAUGUUAUUAAUGUAUUAAAUUAAUAAUAGUAAUGCAAAUUAAAACUGUAGCAUCUGGUGUUAAGCGGCAAUGCUUGAUAUACAAACUUAAAUAAAUAAAUAACAUUCUGAAAUAUUUAUUUACCAGUCAUAAUUUUAAAAAUUGUUUAUACUAAAACAUGUUUAUAGUAAAGACUAUCUGCAAAAUUGAAAAUCAGAACUUGUGGGAUUUUUUUGCAGUAAUGCUAAGUCCAGCAUUUGGUUAUAAAUUCUUUGCAUACAUUUUUUUCUUUAAUGUAUGCAUUUUUAAAAUAUAUAUUUUGAUGUUUUAAAUAGAAAACAUGGAUUAAAUAAAUAUUUGCCUUAAUAAAGAAAGAGCUACUUUCCAGGUUAGAGUAAUAUUUAUAUACGAACAAUAGAUCAUGGGUUCUAAUAGUUCCAAUGGUCCGAAAGUAAAAGAAAAUGAAACAUAAGAUUUUAGCAGAAUCCUUCCAUUGCUGCUGUUAAAGUCUUGGGUGAAAGUCCAUAAACAUAAAACAUAAUGGUCUAUGGGGAGUUCUACUGCAGAGGACAAUUAUGUGGCAGUUUAGAGAAGCCAGUCCUUGGGCUGAUGAAAGAAGAUCAUCUUGUGAAUAAAGUUGUUAUGAGAUGUAAGAUGUAUGAUUUAUACUCUUGUUUCAUACCCAAGUGAUAUGUAAGCAUCUUCUCUUCCUUCUAAAACUCACUGAGAAUUCUUCAGUUCAAAUAUACAAACAAUUAGAGUCAGCAAUAGAAGCACAAUAAAAAUAGCUAACCUCCAGUGAAUGCUUAGUACAAGCCAGGCACUGUUCUAUACACUUACAGCUAUUAACUCUCAGUCUUCAUAAUAAGUCGGUGCAUAAGGAACUGUUAUUAUAUCUACUUUUACAAAUGCCCAAGUUUGUACAGCUGCUACAUGAGGGAGUCUUUGUUCAGAGCGAGGCAGCGGCUCCAGGGCCUGGGGUCUUUUUAACACAGUGCUUCACUGCCUCUAUCAAGUCCUGGUCAGUGGACAGGUCUUCCACUCCAGAGACAGUAGCCCAAGUAGCAAGAGUGAAGUCUGCUAUGUGGUAAGUGUUUGAGGAGGAUCUUUGUGGUUUCUGCCACCUCAAUGCCACCAUCUUCCUUACCAGAGAGAACUUCCUAUUUUGAUGGGUGAGUCAUCUAGUUAUUCUUCGUGAUCUUCAGUUCAAUUUCCUCUUUAAGGAGAAGCUUAUUCAUGCUCAGAAUUAGACUUGUCUUACCGGUUACCUCUGAAUAUUCUGUUGAUCAUUCUCUGAGGUUGAAUAAUCUUUUCUCUGCCAACAUCUACCCUUCCCUAAACUUGAAAAAUACCAGUCAAUGCUCAUCUUCCUAAAAUGUAAGCCCCCAAAAAACAGGACUCACGUCUGUUGAAAAAUGACUCACCUCUGCGGCCUUCUUGUCUCAGCAGUCCCCUAGACAUCUGCCCUAGUAUAGAUCCUUUCAGUCAUUGAACUCAGCAAACAUUCAUUGUGCAGUCACUAUGGAAAGAGGAUGUGAGGUCCUGCACAUGGAGUGAGAACAUUCAUACUAGAAGAUUCACACUUUCUUCAUUCAUGUAUUUAUUCAUUCACUCAAUUAAGAAGCAUUUAUUAAGCACUUCCUGUGCCAAACACCUACAAUAAAUGGAGGCAUGGAUGUUAAGAAUUAAGGAUUUACACUGGAAAUCCCUGGUUUCCAAUUUGACUUCACCUAAUACCUGUGAACUCUGG